GCGGGAGUAGCUCAGUUGGUAGAGCGNGCGCAACCUUGCCAAGGUUGAGGUCGCGAGUUCGAGCCUCGUCUCCCGCUCCA
rnacentral:tRNA from 2 species